CCUUCGGGUGGCAGCAGUGGGGAAUAUUGCACAAUGGGGGAAACUCUGAUGCAGCGACGCCGCGUGAGUGAAGAAGUAUUUCGGUAUGUAAAGCUCUAUCAGCAGGGAAGAACAUGACGGUGCCUGAUUAAAAUACCCCGCCUAACUACGGGCCAGAAGCCGCGGUAAUACGUAGGGGGCAAGCGUUAUCCGGAUUUACUGGGUGUAAAGGGAGCGUAGACGGCAGGACAAGUCUGGAGUGAAAUGCCGGGGCUUAACCCCGGAACUGCUUUGGAAACUGUGCAGCUAGAGUGCAGGAGAGGUAAGUGGAAUUCCUAGUGUAGCGGUGAAAUGCGUAGAUAUUAGGAGGAACACCAGUGGCGAAGGCGGAUUACUGGACUGUAACUGACGGUGAGGCUCGAAAGCGUGGGGAGCAAACAGGAUUAGAUACCCGGGUAGUC
rnacentral:rRNA from 1 species